rnacentral:lncRNA from 1 species
AUGGCUUACUGCAGUCUCAAACUCCUAAGUUCAAGUGAUCCUCCCACCUCAGCUCCCAAGCAGGUGGGGCUACAGAACUUUACAAGGAAAGGGGAAAUGUUGGAAAUGGAGAUGCACAACCUUGUCUUGAAGCAGAAGACUCAGCUAGAGCACAUCUGGACAUGCCUGGCAUUCCUCAAUAUAAUUCAAAUGAUAUUUUAAAAAGGUAGUGUGGUCCUUUCUACUUCCCCUUGAUCUGGGUCAAGGAUACAGUCAGUGUAGCCAGUGCAUUCACGAGGAGGAGCCAAGGAUGUGGCUAGUACUGGGGCUGUGUUGGUAAGUACAAGAGGUACUUGCUAGUCAGCAAAGAUGCUACUGCUCUGCACAACAGACAAAACACUUAUAUAUAGGGAAGUCAAAAGAGUCUUUAGGCUACUGUGUUUAAGUGAGUGUUUGUCUCUGACUGAAAAUUAAGAAGAUGGUAAAAGCAGUGUUAGCAUGAGCCCUGCAUGGGGCUGAGCAAAUCAGGGAGGACACCGAGGAUAAUGAGAGUCAGCUACCACUCUUGCAACAUUUAUGUAAAGUUUUACACUAUUUCAAAAUAAAAAGUAAAAUAAACUUUAAAAAAGCUGACAUAGUUUAGAAUAACAAUUUUAC